AACGAACGCUGGCGGCAUGCCUAACACAUGCAAGUCGAACGAGACCUUCGGGUCUAGUGGCGCACGGGUGCGUAACGCGUGGGAACCUGCCCUUAGGUUCGGAAUAACUCCCCGAAAGGGGUGCUAAUACCGGAUAAUGUCUUCGGACCAAAGAUUUAUCGCCUUUGGAUGGGCCCGCGUUGGAUUAGCUAGUUGGUAGGGUAAAAGCCUACCAAGGCGACGAUCCAUAGCUGGUUUGAGAGGAUGAUCAGCCACACUGGGACUGAGACACGGCCCAGACUCCUACGGGAGGCAGGAAUGGGUAAUAUAGGACAAUGGGCGAAAGCCUGAUCCAGCAAUGCCGCGUGAAUGAUGAAGGCCUUGGGGUUGUAAAGCUCUAUUACCCGGGAUGAUAAUGACGGUACCGGGAGAAUAAGCUCCGGCUAACUCCGUG
rnacentral:rRNA from 1 species